rnacentral:lncRNA from 1 species
AGCAACAUGGGGUACGCUGGCAAGGAAAUUGUCAUACCUACUUGGCUAAUGGCUCCCAGCACUCCUCUAUCUCUUUUGAAGCAGGGUGGUAUAAUAGUUUGGACAGACUUCCUGAAUUAGAAACCCAGCUUUAUUGCUUUCUGAUAUUCAGUUUGGGGCAAUUUAGGGUCUGUGUAACACACUACCCUGUCAGUGUUUUAUCCAAGGAAAAUUUAAUGUAAAUUGUUAGCUCAUCAAUGAUGUAAAUUUUAACUAUUAAAAGGGGUAAAAGAGGUUUCUACAGGAAGUAGCAGGUCAAAAAAACAGGCACUGCUUUUGGCUGAGGGAAAAUGGACCAUAAUGGAAGUAGGAGUGAAGCCCUGCUCUUACUUUAAGGUUGAGAUGCAGUUCUCUUGGAAGAACAUGUGGCUAUUCAUUCAUUUGUUGAAGGGCACCUAGGUUGGUUCCAUAGCUUAGCUAUUGUGAAUUGAGCUACUAUAGAUAUUGAUGUAACUGUGUCACUAUAGUAUGCUGAUUGUAAGUUCUUUGGAUAUACACCAAGCAGAGGGAUAACUGGGUCAAAUGGUGGUUCCAUUGCAAGUUUUCUGAAGAAUUUCCAUACUGUGUUCCAGAAUGCUUGCACCAAUUUACAGUCCCAACUGCAAUGAUAAAUAAAAUGUGGUAUAUAUACACAAUGGAAUAUUCCUCAGCCAUAAAGAAGAAUGAAAUUAUGGCAUUUGCUGGUAAGUGGAUGAAACUGGAGACCACUAGGCUAAGUGAAAUAAGCCAAUCCCCAAAAAACAAAAGUUGAAUGUUUUCUCUGAUAUGUGGAUACUAACACACAAUAAGGUGGGGGGAGAAAAUAGACAUUCAGUGGAUUAGACAAAGGGGAAUGAAGGGAAGGGAGAGGGAAUGGGAAUAGAAAAGACAGUAGAAUGAAUAGGACAUAACUUUCCUAUGUUUGUAUAUGAAUAUGGAACCAGUGAAAUUCCACAUCAUAAUGCAAGAAUGGGAUCCUAAUUAGAAUAAGUUAUACUCCAUGUAUGUAUAAUAUGUCAAAAUACACUCUACUGUCAUGUAUACCUAAAAUGAACAAAUAAAAAUAUACUUUUACAGAAAAAGAAAAUAUGUGGCUACCACAAGAACACAGCCUAUUAGUGUCAAAAGACUUUUCAGAAGGUGAGGACCCCAAGCCAGUCUGCAGAAGCAUGGAGCUUCUGCAGUGGUCUGGGUAUGCAGUUGGAACUCUGUCAAGCUGACCCCUGGGCUCCCUGCUGAUAGUAACAAUGGAGGACCACCACCUGUUUAGGAAGGGUCUUCCUGAGGUAAUGACCCUGAAGCCCCGUUUAGUGCCCUCUGUUGACAAAGACAAACGUUCUGUGGCUCCUGAGAAGGUCAAGGCUCGGUGGGUAGAGUUAAGAGAUUGUACAGGUAACUGGCAAUUAUACGUUCUCUAUGCCUUAUUUUCAUCAUCUGGAGACUAGAGAUAAUAAUUUUAUUUUCCACAUUGAAUUAUCAUAAAGAGUAAAUGGAUUAAUAUAUGUUUUAGUGCUUAGUUUAGAGGCUAGCUUGUCUAUGUCAGCUCUUCCAGUUGGCUCUUAUUUAUUACCUCAUCCCAGGCCAAUAGUAGCAGCUAAUAUAAUACAGAAAGAUGAGUCACUACCUCUACCCUCAUGGAGCCUCAUCUUUAAUAACAUUGUCAGACUUGAUAUGCUUCCUGUUUAUAUUUUAAGGAUCAGUACUAUCUCAAACCCUACCUAUAGGAGUUUAAAGAACUUAUUCCCAUAGUAAUGUAUUACAACAUUUUUAUCUAGCUUUUUUUUUUAGCACAGAAGUAUGCAUGAUAUCUUUCUGUUUGAUUCUUUAAGAAGAGAAAUCAGUGAAUUCAUUCCUUCAGCCAAUAUUUAUUGACUACCUACUUUGAGUCAGGCUGUGUUCUCUAGGGCCUUGGGACAGAGAGUGAGUAAGAUAAAAUAAAACAAAGAUUCUAUUCUUGUGAAGCUUAGGGGGCUGAAGGAGAUGGGCAAUAAAUAAAUAAAAAUAUAGGAUCAUUGAUAAAUACUAUGGAAAAAAGUGAAAUUAGGGGCAGAGAAAGACUUGCUUCUUUGUCAAAUCUCACUUCUCAAAAAGAUGCAAGUUUGUGUGUGUUUUGCUAGUUCCAUGGUUAUUUUGCAAUCCUAUGUCAGUUGUGGACAUUAGAAAUCCCCAGGAGAGCCUGUGCUGGGUAAGUGUUCCCUUUGCACAUAUUAUGGUUAAAUUUGAGUGAGAUCCCCCUUUUAAAAAAAUUUUGUAUUUGUAGAUGGACAUAAUUAUUUUAUAUUUUUCUGUGUGGUGCUGAGGCUAGAACUCAGUGCCUCACACACGUGCUAUGCAAGCACUCUACCACUGAGUCACAACCCCAGCCUGAGAUUCCCCUUUAAAAAAAAAAAAAAUCCUCCCUUCACAUGUUAGGAACUCUCAGAGGUCCUUCAGUCAAUUCAGAUUCAGUGUAGCUAUUUGCACAUAUACAAUGGGUUAUAAAACCCUCUCCCAGUUGACAUCCUUUAUUCUCUCUUAACUGCCAGACUAGUGGUGAUUAUAUCUGAUGAGUUGCUAAACUCAAUCUUUUUCACCUGUCUGUCUGAAUACCAGCAUCUCCUUAAAUCUGUGUGAGGGGCCUCCAUGUUAAAUUUGCUUUUAAAAAUUCUUCCACUUUUAAAUAUUCAUGGGAAUGGCUGAUCUCCAGCCUAUGAAAUAAAGGUACAAGUUUGAGACUAAUCUCUUCCAUUUAAUUCCCCCAUUCCAGAGACUUUAGAAACAGGUCUGAAAAUUAUAGGAACCACAAAUUUAAAAAGUGUUAGUUUGAUGUGUCUGAAAUUAAUGCUUUAAUUUAUUCACCACAGAAUGUCUUCACACAUCGCUGUUUUCUGUAAUUUAUACCAUAUACUGUCUACUCCAGUUAAUGUGUGAAGCAUGGUUAAAUUAUGCCUAAAAAGGAACAUGAAAACCAUCUACAUGAUGGUGAUGGGAAAAAGGGUCUAACUAGGAAUAAUGGGGCAAAAUUUAAAUGAGACAAAUUGGAAUAGAAGUUUCAGAAAAACUGUCAGGUAUUUAAGACAUGCCUGACUGGAAUAAUCUCCUCAGAAAUAAGACUUUAAAACACUUAAGAGUAAGUCUACUAGAAAUGGAUUAGCAAAGUUCUAGAAAAUAUUUCUGUAGGGAAUGCACAAUUAUAUAUGUCAUCUAAAAAUUGGAUCAAAUAAUCAGAUAACCUUUCAUGUGUCUCGUAUCUUCCAUUUUUCAGUCUUUGGUUAAUCAUGUCAAAGGAGGUUUGGGAUAAAGAUCAAAUGAACAAUUCCAUAGAAAAGAGAGGCAUAUUUUGUCAAUAUUAUCUCAUUUUGUUCUUUCCCCUGAUAUGUCUGACAUGUUGAAUGGGACUCUCAUUCAUUUUUUUAAUGGCUAAUUUAAUGCUGGUGAAGGGUGCCAAACAGAUAACCAGGAGGCGGAAGUCCAUUGUACUCUUCCCUGACUUUGCUCCUCAGUCUCAUUCUAAAGGAGUCUGUGUAAGGGCUGUCAAGGCAAGAUGAUCUUUAGGUGGUUCAGUGUUGUUUUGUUUUUAUUUUUGAGAUUACUAAUGCAAUACUAAUUAGUGUUUUUAAAUGUUAGCAAUUCAGAAAUUGUAUUAAGCCACUACCUAUGUGCAAAGCAAUUGGUCUGAUUUCAAGUAUUGUAGAAAAUACAUAUAGGGAAGGAUGGCUCCUGCCUUCAAAGAGUGUACCCUUGAGUAGCCAUUAAAGUGAGAAAGAGGCUGGGGAUGCACCUCAGUGGUAAAGUACUUGCCUAGCAGGUACCAGGCUCUGUGUUUAAUCCCCAGCACCACAAAUUAAAUAAAAUGAGAAAAAUGUUGUCUUUUUAGUAGUGAUGGGCCAUCACUACUGAAACACUAGAAGCAAAAUGGGAAUGGAAUUCAGAUAGGUCAGGGGUCCGAGGGUGUGCAGAGGGGAAGGCAGCAGGAGGCCUCAGAGGAGGAGGAGAAUUGGGUAAGUAUGGGUUUAUUUCCCUCUGACAUGCUUGAUGGAUUUGUUUUUACUGAGAUUUCAGUAGAAUAACUUUAAAAAAGAGAGUAGAAGAUGUGAAAUAGCUUUUGGAGUUCUGCAGAGGAGCGGUAAGCAGGACAAUCUCUAACCUGCUUCUGCAUAAGCCUUUGCUCUGAAGUUUCAUCCUGCUCCUUUCAUCCCACACUUUCUGAGGGCCUCUCUGGUCCCUGCUGUGUCCUUAGGGAAGCCCUGCCUUCACUGAGAUGGCACCUCAUCAUUGAGGUGUGAAGGGGACACUUCUCCAAGUGUCCCCAGACUAUUCGGGCAACAGAAAUGGUUAUAGAAGAAAUGGGUAGGGCAAAAUUAAAUGAGACAAACUGAAAUCAGAGUUUCAGAAAAAACCGUCAGAGUGCGAUAAGCACCUCAGAGAAGCCUUUAAAACAUUCAGAGUAUGUAUUCUAGAAACAGAUUAGACAAAGUUCUAGAAAGUAUUCUUGGAGGCACAGGAAGCACUUCGCCACUCAGCACCCACCGUGGCUACUGCUGUCUGUACUGAACUACUGUGUAAUUGAUUGGUGUAGGCCUUAUCCCUUCCUCACUGCAUUAAUAGGUGAUCUAUCUCUUUUUCCUCCACGGAGUGGCUUACAAUUGAAUUCUGUACUCAGAAACACUUCUAGGAGAUCUAUAUCUUACGCAAUAAGUUAGCUUUUAAAAACAGGAAAGCAGAACAAAUUGGAUAUAUAUCAUGACAGGUGAUUUUUCUGGUUCCAUAAUUUGAUUAUUUGUAAUUAGUUAUCUAUAUAGAUGCAUUUAUACACCUCCCAUAAUUACUUAUUUAAUUUCUAGUGUUUAUAAUUUCAUAACAAAUGAAAUAUAAAUAUAUUCCAUAUUGGCAUAUAAAAUAAUGAUUUAGUCAUAUGCAGUUAGACUGCCACAGCUUCAAUCUCUGCUAAGAAUUUGGAUUAGAUUCCUGUUUUUUUGUUUUUUAUGGGAAUGAUCAAGAUUGAAGAUAAGAAAGUGAGAAUUAGUCAAAUUAGACUAUAUUUAUCACUUCAGAUGUUCACUUUUCUUCUCAAUCUGUAUUAAUAUUUUUCAAGACAAAAACAAUCAUGAACUUUUCAGCACUUCUGUGAUUCCCAUCCCCUCCCUCUUUUAAGUUUUCUUGCUUCAUGCAGUUACAUUUUAUGAUAGUAUCUUUGAUCUACAUGUUUUCUUGAUUUGGCAAAGCAGAUCUUCAGAUUUUAAACAUUCUUACAAGUACUUUCUUUAAAAGUGAGCUCAUCUGUACAAGUUCUGCUGACAAGUAAAUUUUCACAUGGCUACAAUCUCAUAUACUCCUUAAGGACAGCUGACUUGAUCUCUGUAGCAUACCUAUAAAACAGUUUCAACUGCUUAAGUAGUUUCAUGCUCCAGACUGUUUCUGUCUGACCCAGCUGUUUUCAGAGACUGAUUUUGUUUUUGUUUUUUUUUUUUAGGGUUUUUUUUUUUUUUGAUAGCCUGAUGCUUUAGGUAGGUAUUUUUUUUUUUUUAAUGGGGUGGGCAACUCAAGUGAUAGUACAUUCCUAAGAAUUUUCAUUUUUAACACAAGGCAUUCACUUUUGGUUGCUAUUCUUCUUGCCAAUUGUCAUAAAUUAGUAGAUCUAGACGAUGGGGAUCCAAAAGGAACACUCAGUUGAAUUUGAAUAUCACAUACAAAAUGAAUCUUAUCCUUUUUUUGUUGUUGUUUUUGCAUAAGUGUGUUCCAUGAAAUAUUUGGGACAUAUUUACACUAAGAAUUGUUUUUUUAAUGUGAAAUUUAAAUUUAAGUUAACAUCCUGUGUUUUAUUUGGGAAUCAUAUCAUAGGUAGGAAUUUCUGCAAAGUUCUAGAAGAAUAUGUGGGAUGAAAACUAUCACAGUAGCUGGUUGUUGAAUUGUGGCCCCAGGUGCUCCAUGUUAUAUACUAUUAUUAGCAAAGCCUUUUUACUUUGUAAUGGACCCUGUUAAUAUUUCUGCAACAAAAUUAAUGAAUGUUCAUAUACUCUGGAAUCAAUUGAAAUUAUUUUUUUUUUUUUUUUUUUUUUUUUUUUUUUUUUUUUUUAUUUUUUUUUUUUUUUUUUUUUUUUUUUUUUUAAUUUUUUUUUUUUUUUUAAAUAAUUUUUAUUUAUUUUUAUUGUUUAAUUUUCGGUGGACACAACAUCUUUGUGUGUAUGUGGUGCUGAGGAUCGAACCCGGGCCGCACGCAUGCCAGGCGAGCGCGCUACCGCUUGAGCCACAUCCCUAGCCCUGAAAUUAUAAGUAUACAUAUAAAUAGCUCAUUUCAGGUUUUGCCAGUAAAUUAAUUGUCAAAAAUAUUUUUCAGAAAUUUUCUGGAUUUUAAAAUUUGUAGUGAUUUUUUUUUACCUGCAAUUUAAUUUGUACUUAUGGAACCUAUGGGCAUAAAACAUAACUGAGAGAAGAUAUGGCAUGACUGGGAAGGAAGAAAGCUUCACAGAAGAGGUGGUUGUAAAAAGAUUAGUUAGGAAGGAUAUUCCAAAUCAAAGAAACAGUGUUGGAGGAAAUUUAACACCCAUUCAUGACAAAAUUCUUAGCUAACCUAGGUGUACAAAGGAAUUUCCUUGAUUUGAUAAAGAGUAACCCUACAGUUACUCUUUUUAACAGUGAAACACCAAAUACCUUCCCACUAAAAUCAAGGACAAAAGAAUUUCUAAUUCUUAUUCAAUUUCUAAUUUUUAUACCUCGUAAGAAAAAGAAAGACAAAGAUAAGUAGUAAAACUAUCCCUAUUUACAAUUGACAUGAAUGUUUAUAUAAAACAGUAGUUAUCAUAAAAAAAUGUUAGUUACAAAGGGGAAAAACAGAAGCUUAAAGAGUGAAGAAGCCUGAUAAACACCAUCUUACUCAAAUUUCCAAAAAUAGUAUUACCAAUAACAGGACAGUUUGAAAUCAGAAUCACCUGGUAGCCUGUAUGAGAAGAACAUAUUACCACCUCUGUGACAAUCCUGUCAAAGAUUGAUAACCUGAAUUUAAUCAUGGGGGAACAUUUUUAAAAGCCAAAUUGAAUGGUACUCUACAAAAUAAUUGCUGUUAUUUUUAGAAUUAUCAAGGUCAUGAAAACUAAGGAAAGACUAAAGAACUACUAAGGGACCAAAAUGUAUACCAGAUUGGAGGAAAUUAAAGAUACAUGGCAAAUAAAUGCAACAUGUGGUUGUGAACUGCUCCUUUUGUUAUUAAAGACAGUUUUGAGGGCUGGGUUUGUGGCUCAGUGAUAGAGCACUUGCCUCGCACGUGUAGGUCACUGGAUUUGAUCCUCAGCACCAUGUAAAAAUAAAUAAAUAAAGGUAUUGUGUCCAACUACAACUAAAAAAAAAAAAAGAAAGUUUUGAGACAACUGAAGAGAUUUAAAUGGGUAGAAGGGUUAAAUGUAUUAAUGCAAUGUAUUAAUGGUAAUGUCCUAAUUCUGAUGGUGUUGGUGUGACUGUGCAGGCAAAUAUCUUUGUCCAAGGAAAUUUACACUCAAGUAUUUGCCAGUAAAGCUGGUAGGUUUUUAGAUUUAGUAAGUUAUGAUUCUACCAUCUGUUUUCCAUUUUCCAAAUUUUAUUUUUAGGUUUAUUUUUUGUCAGUUCUCUUAUCUAUUGUUUUUCUUUUAUGCUCUCCAUUUUUUUUGUGUGUGGUUAUAUAUUUUUAGUCCUUUAAUAUUAUUUUUGUUUCCUUGCAGAAAUGAGUAGACAAAAAUGCUUCUAUUUAAGCUGCCAUGAAAAACUGGAAAUCCCUCUGUGGUUUCCUAAAAGGUAGUGUGAUUUGGAGAGGUAGAGUGAAAAAAGGAGGGUAUCAUAACAGAAGAAAAAGCAGCAGGGUAGAGAGAGGAGACAAACACAAGAUACCUAGAUAUCAUUAUUUAAACACAAUCAUAAUACUUUAUAUUCUUGUAUAUGAAUCCCUAAUUAGCAUUUAUGUUUAAUUGCUCUGCUCUGCAGAGAAUAUAAAAAUUUUUUGCUUAAACCCAUUUGGAUUAUCAUAAAGUAAUCUAUGCUUUUCUGCCACUUAAAAGUCAGUUCUCCUCAACAAAAGAUUAGCAAAUCAAAUCCAAGAAUGUAUAAAAAGUACACUAUGACCAUGAAGGAUUUAUUCCAGUUGUACAAGUCUAGUUUAAUUUUUAAAUCAAUGAAUGUAACUUAUCACAUCAACAAGCUAAAGAAGAAAAAUCAUGAUUGUAUCAACAGAUGCAGAAAAAUAGUUUGACAAAAUCUAGCUCUCAUCCAUGAAAAAAACUAGGAACAGAGAGAACUUCAUCAACUUAAUAUAGAAUAUCUACAAAACCCUACAACUAACAUACUUAAUGUUGAGAUGCUAGAUGCUUUCCCACUAAGAUCAGGAAAAAGACAAGUAUGUCUGCCCUCAUCACUCCUAUUUAACAUUGCCCUGGAAGUCUCAGUUAAUGCCAAGACAAGAAAAUGAAUUUAAAGGUCUACAGAUUGGGAGGCAAAAAGUAAAACUGGCUUUGUUGGCAGAUGACAUGAUUGUUGGUAGAGAAAUCCCAAAAAAUCAACAAUGAAAACCGGAAUUAAUAAGUGAUUAUAGUAACCUUGCAGGAUAUAGGUUAAUAUACGAAGUCAACUGUAUUCUAACUAGAAAUGAAGAAGUGGAACUUGAAAUACAUAAAACCAUUUACAUUUGUGCCUGAAGGGGAAAUAUUUAGCUAUAGUUUAAGAAAAUAUGCAUAAGUUCUAUAGUAGGAAAACUACAAAACUCUGAUGAAAGAUCAGUUAGAUUAGAUUUAGAUCAAGAGAGGACACUAUGCACAUGAAUAGGAAGACAGACUCAUCUCAUUGUCAAGCUGUCAUUUUUUUCUGCUUCUGAAUUCAAUGCAUUCCUAAAGAAUAGAGAACAUAGAAAUAGAUCCAUAUAGCUAUAGCCAAACUGAUAUUUUGCAAAGGAAUAAGAGUAAUUUGAUGAAGAACAAUCUUUCAACAGGUGGCACUGGAAUACUGGAUAUCCACGUGCAAAAACAAAAAUAAAUCAUUAUAGACCUUUUCCAUACUUUUUACAAAAGUUAACUCAAAAUGAAUCAUGGACCUAAACAUAAAACUCAAAGCUAUAAAACUUCUAGAUGAUAAUAUAGAAGAAAAUCUAAGUGAUUCUGGGUUUGUAAUAACUUUUCGGAUACAGUGCCAAAAGCAAAAUCCAUAAAAGAAAAAAAACUGAUAAGUUGAACUUUUAUUAAAAGUUUAAAAAUAAAAAUACCUCAUGUGUUGUAAAAGAUACUGCUUCAGACAGUGAAAUGACAAGGCACAUACUGAGAGAAAAGAAUAUUUGCACAACACCUGUCUGAUCGAAGUCAGGUAUCCAGAAUGAUAUAGAACUCUUAAAACUGAACAAGAAAAAACAACCUGAAUGAAAAAUGGGGAAAAGGCCUGAAUGGACACCUCACCAAAGAAAACACCGAUGACAAAUAAGCAUGUGAAGAGAUGUUCAGCAUUAUAUGUAAUUAAGGAAUUACAAAUUUAGAUAACAAUGAUUCUUCUACACACCUACUAGAACAGCUAAAAUCCAAAAACACUGGCAACGAUCUGGUGAGCAGACAGAGAGCAACAGAAAGUCUCAUUUUUCGUUAGUUAAAAUAGAAAAUACAGCCACUUUAAAAUAUAGUUUAACAUAUUCUAAACAUAUGAUCUAGCAACCAUACUCCAAUGAGUUAAAAAUUUAUGUCCCCCUAAAGCCUGUAUGCAAAUGUCUGUAACUGUUUGCCAAAACUUGGAAAAAAACCAAGAUGUCCUUCAAUAGGUGAAGGAUAAAUGUGACUGUGAUAUAACCAUAAAAUGGAAUAUUAUUAUUCAGUGAUGAAAGGAAAUGAAUUAUUAUGACCCACACCUCACAAAACAGAGCUUUAACUGCAUAUCACUAAGUGAAAGAAGCCAAUCUGAAAAGUUCACUCUAUGAUUCUAACUAUCUGACAGUCUAGAAAAGGCAAAACUGUGAAUACAGUAAAAAGAUCUGUGGUUGCCAAGGGUCACAGGGAGAGAGAAAAAGAUGGGUGAAUAGGUGAACCACUGGGGAUUUUUAGGGGAGUGAAACCUACUAUAAAUGGCAGGUGCAUGAGAUUAAACACUUCUCAAAACCCACAAAAUAUACAGCACCUGAAUGUGAACUAUAGACCUAGUUAAUUAUAAUGCAUCCACAUUGGCUUUAUUAUAGAAUGUGCACUACACUAGUGCAAGAUGUUAACAGAGAAAAUGGAAAACAGAGUAAGAGGAUCUGGAAACUCCAAUUUCUGCUUAUUUUUCUGUAAAGCUAAAGCUGCUCUAUAACAUAGUAUUACAUAAAAUUUUAAUUAAGAGAAUUAUUAACUUUAUAAGGAACUUUUUGCAGUAAGAGAAAUAUCUAUACCUCGAUCAUGUUGGUAGUUAUGUAUGUGUAUACAUUCAUCAAAAUUCAUUUAUUUGUACACUUACACUUAAUACAUUUCACUAUGCAAAUAUACAUUUCCUGGUAUGUAAAUUUUACCACAAUUGUAAAAUUGUUCAACUCUUUAUUAUCAUUUGUUGCUUGUUUUGGCCACAGUCAACCAAAUGCAUCACUGAAAACCUAAAAGAAAGCAGGACCCAGCUACAAGUUGAGUGUCUUUGGCCUUGAGGAGAAAAAGGAACUGCCACGUUUUUGAGUGACUCAAUGGUUGGAGAAUAGCUCUCUCAAAUGUAUUCUCUGGAAGAGCUAGUCUUCUUUCAGAUUAGCUUACAUGCAGAGGGAAAAUUCUAGUUCCGGGUUUCAGAUUUAGUCAUAAGACCCCACACCUUGCCACCAAACCUGCUCUGAAAUGCUAUCUGCAUGGAUAGCUCUUCUGAAACAGUCUAGAAGUCACUAGUUUCCAGCAUCCAGACAUUCUUACCCAGCAGAAUUUACUUAGGUAAAGGUACAAUAUUUCUCAUGAGGCUGUAAUAGUGACAUCUUUGUGUACCUUAAUGAUGACAAGAAUGAAAAGAUAAGCGGGGAUCCAGAAAGUAACUACUGGAUUUAUGUAAAAAAGCUCUCUGAAUUCAUCUCUCCUGAAUACUCACUUUUGUGCUAUUUAUGGCUUUUCCACUACCUCUUUCUGGUUAGUAUCCAGAAAUACUAUGUGCUCAGCAACUGGUCACAUCUGUGUAGGAGCUCAGGCUUCCCAGGAAUAUGUACCCUCUUAAGCACCACAGGAGACAUUGUGUUACAAAGCCAUGGUCAGUGAGUACCAAAUAACAGGGGAAUGAUUCUGAUGGGAGGUAUCCUGACUCUCCUAUUUUACACCUAUCCAUGUGACAGAGCCUAAGACCCUCCAUAACUACAAGCCUCAUACCCCUUGUUUCUCAGACUUGUUUUUCACUGUGAAUGCUAUUUCACACUAAGGACACACCCAGCUUUUAUGUGGCCUCAAGUAAAUGAAGAACAAGGUUGAUGUUGCUCACCACCACUAAAACCAGUUCCAACUCUCUCCAACAAGAGGGACACAGAUGGAAGAUACUCAUGGGAAACUCACACUCCUUGGAGACCAAUUCCAUCUUCCAUCAGGAAAACCCAUAUGGGGAAGUGACCUAUCCUGUCUAAUAGGAGGGACUUACUGGAGAUUACCUGACUAUCUAUAAAUUAGUGGGUAUUCCUAGCAUCUGAGUCUCAGACUCAAUGCAAAUGCAAAUAUCCUUCUCUGAUAUUUUGGCCACAACCUAGACACCAAGUAUUUAUUUCAUGAUAUCAUUCUGCUUUGAGGAAGUAUUUAUAAUCCUUUUGGUUUUGAUCCCUUGCCUCCUCCUCCUUUUUAUGGCCACAUACUCUUCCCUCCAGUCUCAUGUUUGAUGCUGUCCGUUGAGCACAGUCGUCUGAUUUUUUUCACAACAAUUUGCAUUUUCCCUUCUGAUUAAGUGUAAUUCCACCUCUCAACGUGUCUGCUUGGUCCAGCCUAGCCCCUGCAAUGCCUGGUAUUACCUCCUUAUGGCAGAUAUUUUCACCCUGACAUGAAAUAGAAACCACAUAUAAGAAACUAAUAUAUGAGUCCACCAUCCACUGUAAGGACAACACCAUCUUAACAAUUUUCACCUCUUUCCCCUCCAUAAAGUCCUGAUCUAGUGACAUUCAUGAUAAAGGUCUGUAGAGAGCAGAGUGAGAGAAUACCUAAGGAUGAACAACUUAGGAUAGGGUACAGAAAAAAGGUGUGUGUAAUGCUGGUAAAUGUAGGAAGUUUUAAAUAAUACAUUUGUCAUGCUCUGAGUUCUAGUCUCUGCAUCUUUUCAUUUAUGAUUUCUAUCUGUCCCUGACACUAACUUGUCUUCUCUUGGCUGGAUCCAUGAACCUUCAGGCUAUCCUUCUUGGCUUACCCCCUCCACUUGGCAUUUUGAUAAUAGCCUUUAUUGUCUCUCCCCAAUUUGCUCCCCACCCUGAUUUUCCAAUAUGGGACACUGAUGUCUUUCUCCAUGAACUGGUUCAGUUCUCACUUGACUACUAUGCUCCUUAACACCCCAGUUCCUCUUACCAGCAAUAAAGUACUUAGAGUAGGGCCAAUACCCUCUAUGACAAAUUUAGAAAGGUGGUUAAGUAAUGGGAUAAGGGAGUUAAGCAAAGAGAUAGGAAAAAGUGGAAAAAGUGAAAAUAUCAGGGAAGAACCAUGGAGGAAGAGGAUGAAUUAUAAAGUUCAGGUAAUAUUUGGGGGAUAAGACCAUUGAAAGAAUGAGGAUGAAGUCAAUGGAGUUCCAUGAAGAACAAAAAUAGGUGAGAGCUGAAAAUAGGGAAAGAGAAGGGCUAUGCUGUUCAGAGGUGAGGUGUGUAAUAGGAGAAGGUAGGAAAGAUGGGAUUCAGGGCCAUUCCAAGACUAAAUUAUAAGAUGGGCAAUCAAAGCGAUUAGCAAAUGACUGCCAUGAAGGGUGCUAAAAUAGUUCAUGCAUCCAAGAAGGGUAUAUUCUAAAAGAUGGCUUAUAUAAGUACAAAAAAAUAAAGCAAGGUAGAUCAUGAAUUAUAUCGAGAAAAGUACAAAUAAAGGGUGGUGGGGAUACACAAAAAGAUAUCAUAACAUGUGACACUUAGCGAUCUGCCUUAUACGGGUAGGUGCUCAAAGCCAUCUCAGGAGAGAAGCGGGCUUGCAAAGCACUGUAGUACAUAUGGGAUUUUCAAUUCCACUAGCCUUCAAUUCUCUAAUUUCAAUACUGGAUGCACCUUAGAAUUCUCUGAGAAGCUUUUAAAACUACUGAUGGCCUUCCUUCCCCUUCAGCAACUCUAAUGUAAUUGGUUGGGAGUGAGGUGUGGAUAUUAGUGUUUUCCGAGCACUCCCAGUAAUGCUAGUGAAUAGUCAGGGCUGAGAACCUCUGGUCUUUAUGUUUUCCCCCGUUGGAAGGUGAGGAGCUUAGAAAUCAAGGGGGGCGGGAAAUAGAAAUCUGGAAAUAGGAGGUAGAGAGUCUAGAUCUAACACCAGUGCCCAUUAAUAAAUCUCCAAUAAUUUCUUCCCAUCAAUGCAAUAAAAAUGGAAUUUAAACUCAGAGUAAUGCAUUAUUUCUACCUCUUAUCUCCCUCAACAAUUUCAAGACUAAAAUUUAGAGGUACUUUAAUAGGUAGUUACUACAUACAUAUGUUUAAUUACCAAAAAUAUUCAGCAAUCAAGAGAAAAUCAUGUUAUUUUAAAUAACGCAUUAUAUAAUGUAAAGUCUACUUAUAGUAAUGAAUUCAUGCAUUUUGACAGUUUAUCUCAUUUGUUUCUGAAUCUCUGCAGUUAAGUAUUAUCUUUGCAAAUGACUGAUUUAAUAUCACAGCUUCCUGUGUGAUGAGCCAUUUAUUCCUCUUUUAUUUUUUGUAUAUUUCUUUUGCAAUAUUUUUGUAUAUUUCUAUAUCAUUUUGUAUAUUUCUAUACUUUUGUAUAUUUCUAUAUCAUUGUUGGCAUGCUAAAAUCUGUUAUAUGAUGAGUAAAUAUUAUUAUUUUAAUGUAAGAAGAAAAAUCUCUGCUUUUAUUUCCAUAAAUAGCCUGGAGGUUCCUGGAUCCUGCCUACUUUUAACCCAUUGUUUAACUGACCUGAUGAUGGAACAGAAAUAAAAUAUAUGGAAGAACAUAAAUAAAUAUAUGAGGAAUUGGUGCUGGGCUCUUGUUGCUUCUAAGGGGAUGAAGAAGACAUAGAAGAGUAAACUGCAGCUUCUAGCAUCAUAACUGCUAAAUAAAUGUUUAUUGAAAGAAUGAAAAAAAUGGAUGAAUGAAUUAUAAAACUGGAAAAUGACUAUAAUGAUCUGUAAAAUCAUUGAGUACUUACCAUAUACCAGGCACUGUUUUAGCCCUUUAUGGAUGUCAUCAUUUUUAAUCAAUACACUAAUUCUAUUACAUAGGAACUAUUUCUUGUUCUCCAUUUUACAGAUGAAGAAACCGAAGUUCAGAAAGAUUAAGUAAUUAAUAGUAUCAAGGCCCUGUCCCUUUUAUAGCUCUGUAGCAUGUUCCUAAUUUCAUAGCCCUGGGGCAGGUCACCUAAUUUCAUACCAUAAUAGCCACUCUUACUGAGCCAGCCAAGGUGGUCUAUUUGUCUUUUCUGUUUUUAUUGCCACCUGCUGGUGAUGGUAUCUGCUUUUACACUAUGAUUGUCUCUUCCAGCUCCUUUUAUUUGUGACUUCUUAUUCCAAAGGUUGUUGGCACCAAUUGUCAGUGUACCUCUUCAGCCUUAACUUGGAAUAAGAAUAGGUCAGAACAGGCUGUCGAUUUCAAACACAACAUCAAGACCAGUCCAGUGCUUGGGUUUCAGGCCUGUGGAUUUCUGUCUGGAUUUUCACCCCGGUUAUCUUAACCUUGUAAGCAAAAGCAAAAUCCUGCUCAUGUUCUGUCCAGCCAGUUUACAGUUUAUUGACAUUAUGGAAGCCUUCAAUUCAUAAAUUCUGUUGUAUUUGGUCUAAUCUAAAAAGAUGUGAUGCUAGCUGUAGGUUUUUUUUUUUUUUUAGAGAGAGAGAGAAUUUUUUUUUAAUAUUUAUUUUUUAGUUCUCAGCGGACACAACAUCUUUGUUGGUAUGUGGUGCUGAUGAUCGAACCCGGGCCCCUCGCAUGCCAGGCGAGUGCACUACCGCUUGAGCCACAUCCCCAACCCAGCUGUAGGUUUUUAAAAUAAUAAUUUUUUUCCAAUUUGCUGUGAAUGGGCUUUUUUUUUUUUUUUGUCAGUGCUUUUUUCCUACAUCAGUUAAUGUGGUCAUGUGGGGUUUUUUUUCUUUAGUCUUUUGAUAUAAUGGAUUAUACUGAUUGGCUUUUGAAUGUUGAUCAACCCUUGAAUAUCUGAAAUAAAGCCCACAUUUUCAUAGUAUAGAAUUAUUUUAUACAUUAAUUCAUUUUGCUAACAUUUUGUUGAAGAAUUUUGUGUCUAACUUCAUGAGAAUUAUUGGCCUAUAGUUUUAUUUUUCUGGUUCUGGUAUUGUGGGAAUGCCUAUCUCAUAAAAUGAGUUGGGAAGUAUCCUCUCUUCCAUUUAUUCCUAUUUUUCUGGAAGAAACUAUGCAAAAUUGGUGUUAAAUACUUAUGUAAAUAUUUGGUAAGUUUUCCGGUGAAACUGUCAGGACCUGGAGAUGUGUUUUCAUUCCAGAUUUCUAUGUAUUGUGUUUUCAUUUUCAUUCCACUUUCUAGUUUCCCUUAUGAUUUCUUGGACUCUGUGGGUUAUUUACAAGUCUGUUGCUUAUUUUACAAGUUGUUGGUAAUUUUGUAGAUAUUUUUCUGCUACUAAUUUCUAGUUUAACUCCAUUUUUUCAGACCAUACAUUGCUGACUUUAAUUCCUUUAAAUUUUGAGAUUUGUUGAAUAUCCCAGAAUAUGUUCUAUCUAACUGUAUGUUUCAAAUGAACUUUUUAAAAAAGAGUUAUGUGUUCUGCUGUUUGGAGUAGAGUGUUCUGUAAAUCUAAAUCAUUGUCACGUUGGUUGACAGUAUUCAAAGUUCCCAUAACCUGACUGUCUACUUGUCACAUCAGUUACCUAUACUGAUGAGUGGAAAUCUGUGAUAAAGAUUUCUAUUCAGCUCUAACAAUUUUUGCUGCAUGUACUUUGAUAUUAUGUUACUAGGUAAAGGCAUAUUGAGGUUGUUAUGUCCUCUUGGUACACUGAUAUCUUUGUCAUUAUGAAAUAUUCCUCUAUAGGCAGGGGUUGUGGCUCAGUGGUAGAGUGGUUGCCUAGCAUGUGUGAGGCACUGGGUUCGAUUCUCAGCACCAUGAAUGAAUAAAUAAAUAAAGGUCCAUUGACUCCCCCACUCCAAAAAAAAAAAAAAAAGAAAAGAAAAGAAAGAGAUAUUCCUCCUUUUUCCCCUAGUAAUAUUCCUUACUUGGAA